rfam:Streptomyces caelestis strain NRRL B-24567 P188contig214.1, whole genome shotgun sequence.
UUCGGUGGUCAUAGCGUAGGGGAAACGCCCGGUUACAUUCCGAACCCGGAAGCUAAGCCUUACAGCGCCGAUGGUACUGCAGGGGGGACCCUGUGGG